UCAAAACCCUAACACCUCUCAAAUCAUCAAAUUAAGAAGGAAAUUGAAGGUCAAUCGAAUGCAUGUGAUCAAUUCCUUAGUCAUCUAAGGGUUUCCCAUCAUGGGGUAACACAAGUCAUGAGGAUCAUCAAGGAAUAGAGAUCGAGGAUCGAGUCACAUGAAGGAUUGUACGGGGUGUAUAAGAAUGUAAUUUGUUAUAUAUAAGUUAUGUUUUAUUCUAUAAUUGAGUUAGUCUGAUGUGUUUAAUAUAGAGGAGUUAUUUUAAAAGUGAACUUUCAAGUAAGACAUAAGGUUUAUAAUGAAAGAAAUUUUAUGGUACGUA